rnacentral:RNase_P_RNA from 2 species
GGCGCAAAACGUUCUAUCGCUGCUUCUCUCGGGGAGCGGAGGAAAGUCCGGGCAACGCAGAGCAUCCUGCUUCCUAACGGGAAGGCGCCCGCAGCGGGCGACAGCAAGUGCCACAGAGAAUAUACCGCCUUGGCUUCGGUUGAGGUAAGGGUGAAAACGUGAGGUAAGAGCUCACGGCUUUUCCGGGCGACCGGGAUCGCGGUAAACCUCAGGAGUUGAAAAACCAAAUAGGUUCUGAAAGUGGAGCUGCUCGCUCCCGCCUUUCGCCUACGGCGAAACGUCAGAAUGGGUAGGUUGAUAGAACCUGCCGGCAACGGCAGGGCCAGAUUAAUGAUAGAAAUUCCCCACGGGGAGUACAGAACCCGGCUUACAGGUUUGCAGCUGUA